rnacentral:rRNA from 1 species
UACGGAGGGCGCAAGCGUUGUUCGGAAUCACUGGGCGUAAAGCGCGUGUAGGCGGCUCUGCAAGUCGGGUGUGAAAUCCCGAGGCUCAACCUCGGAACUGCACUCGAUACUGCUUGGCUCGAGUCCCGGAGAGGGUGGCGGAAUUCCCGGUGUAGGGGUGAAAUCCGUAGAUAUCGGGAGGAACACCAGUGGCGAAGGCGGCCACCUGGACGGUGACUGACGCUGAGACGCGAAAGCGUGGGGAGCAAACAGG